rnacentral:rRNA from 1 species
UGGGGAAUCUUCCGCAAUGGACGAAAGUCUGACGGAGCGACGCCGCGUGAGUGAUGAAGGCCUUCGGGUCGUAAAGCUCUGUCAUCGGGGACGAAUGGUCGUUGGAGUGGAAAGCCAGCGAAAUGACGGUACCCGAGAAGGAAGCCACGGCUAACUACGUGCCAGCAGCCGCGGUAAUACGUAGGUGGCAAGCGUUGUCCGGAAUUAUUGGGCGUAAAGCGCGCGCAGGUGGGAUCUUAAGUCCAUUUUGAAAGUUCGGAGCUCAACUCCGUGAUGGGAUGGAAACUGGGAUUCUUGAGUACCGGAGAGGAAAGCGGAAUUCCCCGUGUAGCGGUGAAAUGCGUAGAUAUGGGGAGGAACACCAGUGGCGAAGGCGGCUUUCUGGACGGUGUCUGACACUGAGGCGCGAAAGCCAGGGGAGCGAACGGG